UAAAACUUUGUAUUGAUUAAGAGUUAGCCUAGGUUAAACUUAAGUAUGGUAAUUUUGGUGUCAAAUUUUUUUUAAACCCAGCAAGAAACAUUAAACUAUACUAGAAAUAGUAAUUUAAUUUAGCCUAAAAAACUGGACCAAUAAGGUGCCAGCAGUCGCGGUCACACCUUACAAUUGAGUUAACUCUCUCAGGUUAGCUUAAGAAGAAGAAUCUCCUAAUACGUCUGGUGAAAUAGAACUAUGGAGAUAAAUGCACAAUUCCAUAAUUCUAUACAUUUGCUAAAGCUCUGUAAAUAAACCAGGAUUAGAUACCCUGCUAUAUAGAGUUUAAUUUUCCCGCCUAAGCACUAUGACUAAAGAGUUAAAACUUAAAUUACAUGGCGGUAGCUAGAAAUUUCAGGGGAACUUGCCAAAUAAAUGAUAACCCUCAAGGAACUCUACUUCUACUUAUAGUUUGAAUAUCGCCGUCUUCAGUAUUCAUUUCAAGAUGAACCCAAAAUGUGAUCCUCACAAAAAGACAGGUUAUGAUGCAGCCAAUGUAGAAGCUCUAGGUGAGUUACAAUAGAAAUAUUUCUUUGGAUUUUCUCUUAAUUAAAGGAAUGAAACUGGACUUGAAAGUAAAAUAUUAAAAAGAACGUUAAUUGAAUUUCUCCACUAUCUGUGCACAAAUCGCCCGUCACUUUCGUUGAAAAAUGAAAUAAGUCGUAACACAGUAGGUGUACCGGAAGGUGUACCUGUCUUUAU
rnacentral:ncRNA from 1 species